UUUUAUAAAUUCGUUUUUCUGCU
rnacentral:snRNA from 1 species